AGAUCUGUAACUUAAAAGUAAAAGUAUAUAAUUACGAAUUAUAGUAUAAAGGUUAAAAUCCUUUCAGAUCUU